AGAGUUUGAUCCUGGCUCAGGACGAACGCUGGCGGCGUGCCUAACACAUGCAAGUCGAGCGAAGUAUAUCUAAGUGAAGUUUUCGGACAGAACGAAGAUAUAUCUUAGCGGCGGACGGGUGAGUAACGCGUGAGCAACCUGCCUUUCACAAAGGGAUAGCCUCGGGAAACUGGGAUUAAUACCAUAUAAAACUUGCCUUUCGCAUGAAAGGGAAGUCAAAGCGAUAAGCGGUGAAAGAUGGGCUCGCGUCCUAUUAGCUAGUUGGUGAGGUAACGGCUCACCAAGGCGACGAUAGGUAGCCGGCCUGAGAGGGUGAACGGCCACACUGGAACUGAGACACGGUCCAGACUCCUACGGGAGGCAGCAGUGGGGGAUAUUGCACAAUGGAGGAAACUCUGAUGCAGCGACGCCGCGUGAGUGAAGAAGGCCUUCGGGUCGUAAAGCUCUGUCCUAGGGGAAGAUAAUGACGGUACCCUAGGAGGAAGCCCCGGCUAACUACGUGCCAGCAGCCGCGGUAAUACGUAGGGGGCGAGCGUUGUCCGGAAUUACUGGGCGUAAAGAGUUCGUAGGCGGUCUGAUAAGUCAGAUGUGAAAGGCGUAGGCUUAACCUAUGUAAGCAUAUGAAACUGUCAGACUUGAGGUAAGGAGAGGAAAGUGGAAUUCCUAGUGUAGCGGUGAAAUGCGUAGAUAUUAGGAGGAAUACCAGUGGCGAAGGCGACUUUCUGGACUUAAACUGACGCUGAGGAACGAAAGCGUGGGGAGCAAACAGGAUUAGAUACCCUGGUAGUCCACGCCGUAAACGAUGAGUGCUAGGUGUCGGGUAGAAAUAUUCGGUGCCGCAGCUAACGCAAUAAGCACUCCGCCUGGGGAGUACGUACGCAAGUAUGAAACUCAAAGGAAAUUGACG
rnacentral:rRNA from 1 species